ACGGGAGGCAGCAGUGGGGAAUAUUGCACAAUGGAGGAAACUCUGAUGCAGCGACGCCGCGUGAGUGAAGAAGUAUUUCGGUAUGUAAAGCUCUAUCAGCAGGGAAGAGAAUGACGGUACCUGACUAAGAAGCACCGGCUAAAUACGUGCCAGCAGCCGCGGUAAUACGUAUGGUGCAAGCGUUAUCCGGAUUUACUGGGUGUAAAGGGAGCGCAGGUGGCCUGGCAAGCCAGAAGUGAAAGCCCGGGGCUUAACCCCGGGACUGCCUUUGGAACUGUUGGGCUGGAGUGCAGGAGGGGUAAGCGGAAUCCCUGGUGUAGCGGUGAAAUGCGUAGAUAUUAGGAGGAACACCAGUGGCGAAGGCGGCUUACUGGACUGUAACUGACGUUGAGGCUCGAAAGCGUGGGGAGCAAACAGGAUUAGAUACCCUGGUA
rnacentral:rRNA from 1 species